UUACUGCUUGGGAACUGAUAGUCUAGAGUGAGGGAGAGGCAGAUGGAAUUGGUGGUGUAGGGGUAAAAUCCGUAGAUAUCACCAAGAAUACCCAUUGCGAAGGCGAUCUGCUGGAACUCAACUGACGCUAAGGCGCGAAAGCGUGGGGAGCAAACAGGAUUAGAUACCCUGGUAGUCCACGCCCUAAACGAUGUACACUAGUUGUUGGGGUGCUAGUCAUCUCAGUAAUGCAGCUAACGCAUUAAGUGUACCGCCUGGGGAGUACGGUCGCAAGAUUAAAACUCAAAGGAAUAGACGGGGACCCGCACAAGCGGUGGAGCAUGUGGUUUAAUUCGAAGAUACGCGAAGAACCUUACCUGGGCUUGAUAUCCUAAGAACCUUUUAGAGAUAAGAGGGUGCUAGCUUGCUAGAACUUAGAGACAGGUGCUGCACGGCUGUCGUCAGCUCGUGUCGUGAGAUGUUGGGUUAAGUCCCGCAACGAGCGCAACCCACGUAUUUAGUUGCUAACGGUUCGGCCGAGCACUCUAAAUAGACUGCCUUCGUAAGGAGGAGGAAGGUGUGGACGACGUCAAGUCAUCAUGGCCCUUAUGCCCAGGGCGACACACGUGCUACAAUGGCAUAUACAAUGAGACGCAAUACCGCGAGGUGGAGCAAAUCUAUAAAAUAUGUCCCAGUUCGGAUUGUUCUCUGCAACUCGAGAGCAUGAAGCCGGAAUCGCUAGUAAUCGUAGAUCAGCCAUGCUACGGUGAAUACGUUCCCGGGUCUUGUACUCACCGCCCGUCACACCAUGGGAGUUGAUUUCACUCGAAGCCGGAAUACUAAACUAGUUUAC
rnacentral:rRNA from 1 species